CAGCACUGCGCGCCACCGCCUCGCCGUCACGCUACCGUCGUUUCUCGCUGCCUCCGGUCGUCGCCGUCUACCGCCGUUCGCCGGAGCCGUUCCCUCGCCCCACUCGUCGUUCUCCCUGCUCCUAGUAGCAGAGAUUAAAGAAGAUAAAGGAUAUUACAAGCCUCCCCCGGCUAUCAUGGUUGGUAAGCAAGAAUUCAGGUAUGGAAGAACAGUUGUGGAUCACUGAUAGACUGCAUUAUGGAGAUUAUGUAUGAUUCUAUGAGGUUUUAGGAUACUUUGUAUAAUGAGUAAACAAGUAUUAUCUUGCGAUGAGUAAUUGUAUAGUGAAUUUUUAAAUUUUAGGCUACUAUUUUAUUUGUGGGCCAUAACCCACAGGAUUAAGUUAUGCUUCCGCUGGCGAUUAAGGUCAUGUAAAUUUGUCGGGGCGUUACA